rnacentral:lncRNA from 1 species
AAUUGGCAUACUAAGCCUGGUUGUAGCACCUUCUUUAAAUAGGAAACAAGAGGGGAUACCAUGGGACACCAACUCUUGGAGUCCCUUCAUUCUUACAUGCCUUCAUUUAAUUUUUAGCAUGAAAUAUAUGUAGAUGGCAUAGAAACUAAAGAGGUUAGCUAGCAGAAAGACUCUUUCUCUACUUAAAAAAAAUAUAACACCAUCAUAUGGCAUGCGGG